CCUGACUCGCGUUUUUUUCUACAGCAGUUUAGCUAGCAUCUAGUUAGCAUUUCACCAUGUCCUGGUUCUGGGAACAUUUUGACAUUAUAUUGACCUUUGUCUGGCUUUACGCACUUAUUAACCAAACUAGAUUUCUAAUUGUUUACUCUCUGUAUCGUAUAACAGUGAUGAAGUACCGGUCUCUGGAGAGGAGCUAGUCCGUUAGCCUUUAGCUCUUUAGCUCUUUAUCAAUCAGAGCCUCAUCAGUGAAUCCUGUCACCCGUCAGAUUCUGUGACUUUUACGUCGCUUUACGUCAUCUCCAUGGCAACAUCAAACACAACGACCUGACUCGUUUUUUUAGCUAGCAUCUAGUUAGCAUUUCACCCUGUUCUGGUCCUGGAGACGUUUAAACAUUAUAUUUGACGUUCUCUUCGUUGACGCAUUUUUUAGGUUAGUUUUCCAUCUUAUCUUUUAUUGUCCGUCUGUUGGUAGUCUCUGGAGAGGAGCUAGUCCGUUAGCCUUUAGCUCUGUAUCGGUCAGAGCCUCCAUCAGCGUCUGCUGAACGCUCGGCUGCUUCUGAAAGGUUUCUUUCUGACAGGAGACACGAUGGUGCGUCUCACCGUGGAUCUCAUCGCUAAAUCUAGAAACCACUUCAGAAAGAAAAGAGGCCUUUCCUUCCCAGAGUACCUGAGGACGCUCACACACCUCCACUUCUUCAGCAAGAAUAUCGAGG